UCUCCUGAUAACUUUUUAUUGUACUUUUCAGAAAAUAAGGCUGUUGGGGUAAUGAAACCUGGCCACGCAUUUACGAUAGAACCAAUGAUCUGUGAAGGUGGGUGGCAAGAUGAAACCUGGCCCGAUAGCUGGACAGCAGUUACCCGAGAUGGCAAACGGUCUGCUCAGUUUGAACACACGCUCCUAGUCACAGAUACUGGGUGUGACAUCUUAACCCGGCGGUUGGAUAGCAUUCGUCCUCAUUUCAUGACCCAGUGCUAGUAUAAGCCACACGGAGAGCUUGAAAUGAGCAUCUGUACUAUGCAUUUUACUAAUGUACAGGAUGAAAGGGGGAUUUUAUCACCUGUUUUCUUGUCAUUGCCUAUAGGUAAGAGAAAUGCAAAUCUGCAUUGUACAACUUGGAAGAGUCUGAUGCAGAGGACCCCAAAACUGUUUGAACUUUUUAAAAGAAUUUCCAAAUAGCACCCCUUUAUUCUCCUUUCCACCCACCAAAACAAAACAACAGCAGCAACAAAAACAAAGCUGGGCUUCAGAUGAUUUUGACACUGCCACAGUUGUCAGCUGGUGUACCUAAGACAACUUUUUCACGGUGAAUGUGAGAUCUUACCUAAGGUUUUGAACUUUUCUUGUUCCAAAGGCAACCCCUGCUUAGCUUGUGCUGCAAAGGCAGUUUUAAACAGGCUAGGCUUUCAUCUGUUUACAACUCAGAGGUGGCAUUAUAUACUAUGAAAAUGAAACUAGUACUGUGUACUAGUCCCUUCAGAACCUUGUCUGCCUUUCCUUGUACCAUUUUGGUUGCCUCUCGUAAUUGUACAUAGAAGUACAAUAACCACUAGUUAAGUGAAGAAAGAGUUUGCCUUUACCCAGUGGGUCUCUGUGAAAAGCCGUGAAGUGGGGCAGGAAGGCCAAAAUUACUGAGAUCCUUCCUGGUUUGAGCUUUUACCAAAUUGUAGCUUUAAGAUGGGUAGCCCUUGCCAGCCAACAAGGUUCUAAAGUUUCACUGGUAGAAAGCUGUUAUUUUUAAAUUGAAACAGGGGAAAAAAUGGAAAUACAGAGUUCCUGUUCGCCAUGCAUAUUAUAUAUGGUGACUUUAUAUGACUUCAUUGCCAUGAUCAAAUGUUUGUUCACUGUAGGGACCACUUGAUAUCAGUAUAAUUUCAUCAUGGUGCCCUAAAUGAUAUUUUGGCAUUGUGGCAUGCAGCUGUCAGGAACUGGAUCAGUAAUGGCUACUUUUAGUCCAUAGCAACCCAAAUCAGCUUCACUGCAGAUUAGAGAAGAAAACCUUUGCCAAUAGUGAUGAGAACUGGUCCACAAACAGGAAAGUAAGAUAUAAUGCCGUGUGUUUCCCAUGGCAAAUUUUAUCACGUAAUUUUUUUUCUGAAAUGUUCUUAGGCGUUUGACAAAACAAGGUGUAUGUACUGUUCCAACCAGCCAAUGUGAUGCUUCAUCAAAAGGAAGAUGUUGUAGUAAAGAUAAUGCCUUUGAAAGGUGCAAGAAUUGGAGAGCCCUGGAAAUCAUUAAUCUUUCCCCAAAGGUCCUUAGACCAGCAGCAAAGGUGAUAGUGUGAUAAUGUCCUCCCCACCCCAUACUUUAUAUGAGUUUGUUAUACAGAUUUACUGCUGUUGAUGUCAGGGAAAGCGUAAUUUUGUUGGCCAGUGGCUGUUCCCAUCUAGCCUUGUAUUCUGUAAUGAGAAUGAUUUUUCAACCACAUUUUUGAUUCUGGUGCCUACUUCAUCCAUACAAUGUUGAAGUGCAGAAAUGGAAAUGAAGACAAAUAAAAGUCAUAAAAUCA